rnacentral:rRNA from 1 species
GACGAACGCUGGCGGCGUGCUUAACACAUGCAAGUCGAACGGAAAGGCCCUGCUUUUGUGGGGUGCUCGAGUGGCGAACGGGUGAGUAACACGUGAGUAACCUGCCCUUGACUUUGGGAUAACUUCAGGAAACUGGGGCUAAUACCGGAUAGGAGCUCCUGCUGCAUGGUGGGGGUUGGAAAGUUUCGGCGGUUGGGGAUGGACUCGCGGCUUAUCAGCUUGUUGGUGGGGUAGUGGCUUACCAAGGCUUUGACGGGUAGCCGGCCUGAGAGGGUGACCGGCCACCUUGGGACUGAGAUACGGCCCAGACUCCUACGGGAGGCAGCAGUGGGGAAUAUUGCACAAUGGGCGGAAGCCUGAUGCAGCAACGCCGCGUGCGUGAUGACGGCCUUCGGGUUGUAAACCGCUUUCGCCUGUGACGAAGCGUGAGUGACGGUAAUGGGUAAAGAAGCACCGGCUAACUACGUG